UACGUAGGGUGCAAGCGUUAAUCGGAAUUAUUGGGCGUAAAGCGCGCGCAGGUGGUUUCUUAAGUCUGAUGUGAAAGCCCACGGCUCAACCGUGGAGGGUCAUUGGAAACUGGGGAACUUGAGUGCAGGAGAGAAGAGUGGAAUUCCACGUGUAGCGGUGAAAUGCGUAGAGAUGUGGAGGAACACCAGUGGCGAAGGCGACUCUUUGGCCUGUAACUGACACUGAGGCGCGAAAAGCGUGGGGGAGCAAACAGG
rnacentral:rRNA from 1 species